CUUUAGCUUAGCAAUGUGCUGGAAUGGCUCUUGCAAAGAUUGGAUCUGAAAGGGGGGAAAAAAAAGGGGGGAACCUUCUUUCUGGAGGAAUUCUGCACAGACUUUGCAGCAGCUCCUGGCUUCAGUUUUCCUGCAGCUAAUGGGAAAGUUGCAAAAACUGGUUCUCCAGCUGUAAGAACUUGCGUUUUGUUUCUUUCUUUUUUUUUUUUAACUUUCCAAUCUCUUCUUUUCCAUUUGGAAACCAUUUCAGCCCAGGUGCAGCCCCAGAAACCCAGUCUAGCUCGGGAUAAAGUGAUAGUGAGUGGACCCUGCACGUUGAUCUAUAAGAACUUGUGUCCUCUGAGAACCAAAACUCUACUUCUGGGAUGAAAGCGCUCUCACUUCUGAUUUUCAGGACUGUGAGAGUUGGAUUCCUCUGUGAAUAUCUGGAUUGGUGGGCACAGCUGCAUUCAUUGGGAACAGAAGCACAUAGAAAGCCUGGGGCAAGGCACACAGCUGGAUUCAGAGCCCCUACGUUCCAGAUGUCACGGCACAGCAUCAAGGGGUUGUUGCAGAAGUUGCUCAUCCCAUCAUCGCUAGCCUUGGAAGGGACUUCUGGAAGGACUCCACAGUCCUUAUCAUUCACUUUGUAGGCAACGAUCGCAUUACUUACAAAGAGGUCCAACGAGAAGCUGGAUAGAAGACGUAGUACCACAUCUAGCUGCCUGAAAACCACUUGCAGGUGCACGUUGGAGAGAAAGGCGUACAGGCAGAGCAGCUAUUCAGGGAACCCAGUGAGCACCAGGCGCUACUUUUUCUUACCCCAAAAGGUUUGGAAUUUGCCAGCAUGGAGGUGAGCAAUGGAGGCAGCUGGGGCCAGACCAAGUGCUCUCUUUCAUGGAUCCAGCAUGUUUUUAGAGGACUGGGGCAUAAGUGAUUUACGAAGGUCACACAGGGAGUCCAUGGCAAGGUAGGAGUUGAACCUAGAUCUCCUCAGAUCUGUGUCUUAACCACAAAGCCAUCCUGCUUCUAGACUGUAGAAUGUUAAACGUGGGGCAAUUUUUCAUUGCUAUUCAUAAUAGAAUAGCUUCUUGGUGAAUGGUUUGGUCAGCUGGAUGGUCUGGAAGAAGUAAACGGUAGCCAAAAGCAUCAUUAUUCCGUGCAAUAUAAGACAGAAAGGCAGAAUGUUCACACUAUCGAACAGAAGGACUAGGAAGAUGUUUUGGAAUUCCAGACAAAAUGUUUUCUUGUACAAGUUUCAGAUAAUAAACUGAACUGGGAAAGCAAACUCCAAGACGAAAUAUUUAAUUAUCCUUCUCACCAUUAUGAGGAACUUCUGCCACUGUUCAGGUUAUUAUACAGUAAAUAACCAGUUUUCUAAAGGACAGAGCUGUUUUAAUUAUAUGACAAUGAAUGCAUAAUUAUUAUGUUUGUAGGAAUGA